UACAGAGGUCCCAAGCGUUGUUCGGAUUCACUGGGCGUAAAGGGUGCGUAGGCGGUCGGGUAAGUCUGAUGUGAAAUCUCAGAGCUCAACUCUGAAACUGCAUUGGAUACUGCCGUGCUUGAGGACUGGAGAGGAGACUGGAAUUUACGGUGUAGCGGUGAAAUGCGUAGAUAUCGUAAGGAAGACCAGUGGCGAAGGCGGGUCUCUGGACAGUUCCUGACGCUGAGGCACGAAGGCCAGGGGAGCAAACGGG
rnacentral:rRNA from 1 species